GCCGACGUAGCUCAUCCGGUAGAGCGCCUCGCUGAAGACGAGGGCGUGGGAGGUUCGAGUCCUUCCGUCGGCACCA
rnacentral:tRNA from 1 species